rnacentral:rRNA from 1 species
UGGCUCAGGACGAACGCUGGCGGCGUGCCUAAUACAUGCAAGUAGAACGCUGAAGAGAGGAGCUUGCUCUUCUUGGAUGAGUUGCGAACGGGUGAGUAACGCGUAGGUAACCUGCCUUGUAGCGGGGGAUAACUAUUGGAAACGAUAGCUAAUACCGCAUAACAAUGAAUGACACAUGUCAUUUAUUUGAAAGGGGCAAUUGCUCCACUACAAGAUGGACCUGCGUUGUAUUAGCUAGUAGGUGAGGUAGCGGCUCACCUAGGCGACGAUACAUAGCCGACCUGAGAGGGUGAUCGGCCACACUGGGACUGAGACACGGCCCAGACUCCUACGGGAGGCAGCAGUAGGGAAUCUUCGGCAAUGGGGGCAACCCUGACCGAGCAACGCCGCGUGAGUGAAGAAGGUUUUCGGAUCGUAAAGCUCUGUUGUAAGUCAAGAACGAGUGUGAGAGUGGAAAGUUCACACUGUGACGGUAGCUUACCAGAAAGGGACGGCUAACUACGUGCCAGCAGCCGCGGUAAUACGUAGGUCCCGAGCGUUGUCCGGAUUUAUUGGGCGUAAAGCGAGCGCAGGCGGUUUGAUAAGUCUGAAGUUAAAGGCUGUGGCUCAACCAUAGUUCGCUUUGGAAACUGUCAAACUUGAGUGCAGAAAGGGAGAGUGGAAUUCCAUGUGUAGCGGUGAAAUGCGUAGAUAUAUGGAAGGAACACCGGUGGCGAAAGCGCUCUCUGGUCUGUAACUGACGCUGAGGCUCGAAAGCGUGGGGAGCGAACAGGAUUAGAUACCCC